CGAACCUUUUCAAGGGGUAACCCGAGAUUAGGUUAGCGGCGAACGGGUGAGGAAUACAUGGAUAACGUACCCUGGACAUGGGGAUAGCGGCGGAGCUUCGGCUCCUUUGCGAAAGCGCCGGUAAUACCCAAUGAUCCGGAAGUGUCGCAUGGCAUUUCCGGCAAAGGCCCCGACGGUCUGGGAGCGGUUCAUGUCCUAUCAGCUUGUUGGUGAGGUAACGGCUUACCAAGGCAUUGACGGGUACCGGGCGUGAGAGCGUGGCCCGGCACAUCGGAACUGAGACACGGUCCGGACACCUACGGGUGGCUGCAGCAACGAAUAUUCCGCAAUGGACGAAAGUCUGACGGAGCGACGCCGCGUGCAGGAAGAAGUCCUUCGGGAUGUAAACUGCUGUCAGGGGUUAGGAAUAAAUGACCAGCCCCACAGGAAGCACUGGCUAACUCCGUGCCAGCAGCCGCGGUAAUACGGAGAGUGCAAGCGUUGUUCGGAAUUACUAGGGCUUAAAGAGCGUGUAGGC
rnacentral:rRNA from 1 species